CGGGAUGUAGCGCAGUUUGGUAGCGCACUUCGUUCGGGACGAAGGGGUCGCAGGUUCAAAUCCUGUCAUCCCGA
rnacentral:tRNA from 38 species